CAGUAGCCACGGUAAUACGAAGGGUGCAAGCGUUAAUCGGAAUUACUGGGCGUAAAGCGUGCGCAGGCGGUUUGUUAAGACAGAUGUGAAAUCCCCGGGCUCAACCUGGGAACUGCAUUUGUGACUGGCAAGCUAGAGUGUGGCAGAGGGGGGUGGAAUUCCGCGUGUAGCAGUGAAAUGCGUAGAUAUGCGGAGGAACACCGAUGGCGAAGGCAGCCCCCUGGGCCAACACUGACGCUCAUGCACGAAAGCGUGGGGAGCAAACAGGAUUAGAUACCCCCGUAGUCCCUGUCUCUUAUAC
rnacentral:rRNA from 1 species